UAAAUUCUUCAGCUUUGUCACUUCAGGAGCCGUUCUGGUGCAGCACAGUUUGACAGAAAAAUGCCUAACGACUCCUGGCAGAAGCAACAACAUAUUUAUAGCCGCUUUCACCACAACUUAUGCCAGACUGAAAUUAUUAAAUGCGUUGAACAAACUGGGAAAUCGCGUCAUUUAUUACGAUACAGAUUCUAUAAUUUAUUCUGUCAAAGAGAAUGAGUGUGUUUUACCAACAGGACCGCUGCUGGGGGAUUUAACCGAUGAACUGCACGGCGAUUCCAUCACGGAAUUUGCUUCAUCCGGUCCAAAAACGUAUGCUUACAAAAACCGGGACCGCCAGCAGGUGGUGCUAAAGGCUAAGGGUAUCACACAGUCAUUCAUUUCAUCUGAUCACAUCAAUUUUGACAGCUUAGCGCUGCUGGUUGAGGGGUACGUGGCUGGAGAAAGGGGAAGAUUUUUGCAAACUCGGCAGGAGAUCGUCAAGAGGGAUAAAAAAGGCCUCACUCUCUCGAAUGUUUCAUUUGUGAAAAGGUUUCGUGUGAUUUUUGAUAAGCGGAGGUUAUUUGCUGACGGCAGUACAGAACCAUUUGGGUAUUAAAAAUGGAAACUGAUUUUGACGCUAGACUAAAAUCUCCAUUCAGUGCACAAAUUGCUGGUCCGUCAGGCUGUGGAAAAACCUUUUUUGUAAAAAGUAUUUUGGAAAAUUGUAUGCAAUGUUUAACUGAAAUGCCAAAAAACAUCGUGUGGUUUUUUACAUCUUAUCAACCUAUGUAUGAUGAUCUUUGUAAUAAAAGUAUUAGAUUCGUUCAAGGUCUCCCGCUUUCAUUCGAGGAUGAUGAUUUAUUUCCAUCGGGUCAAAACCACUUGGUGAUCUUGGAUGACAUGAUGUCUCAAACGUCCAGCCAUCCUGGUGUGCUAAAAUUAUUUACCCAGCUGAGACAUCACAGAAAUAUGAGCGUCAUUUUAAUCACUCAAAAUGUUUUUCAUCAAGGAAAACAUAGUCGUUCCAUCAGCUUAAACACCAAUUAUUUGAUUUUGUUUAAAAACCCUCGAGACAAAUUGCAAAUCAAUGUUUUAGCAAAUCAAAUAUAUCCUACCCAAAAAAGAUAUUUCAUGGAGAGUUUUCAAGACGCUACGUCAGAACCGUACGGUUAUUUAAUUGUGGAUUUAAAAGCGGAAACGCCAGAAUCUUUCCGUCUCCGUACGGGUUUACUUCCGGAUCAGCUCACUGCGGUGUAUUUGUCUAAAACAGAGCCAUGUCAGCCCGGAUAAAACGCAACGCCAAGAUUCUACGUGCUUUGUCACGUAUGAAGCCUCGCCAACGUCAGGAGUUUUUAAAAGGGUGCUCCGAGGACGUUCUCAAGGCUUUGUGCGAGAUAGCUUUAAACGUGAUCAAAGGAAAUAUACGUCUGUCGCCGCGUCAAUUUCAAAAGUUGUCUAAAAGCAAAGAAUUGCUCAGACAGUUGACUCAUAACAAAACUAGCCUUUUUAAAAAAAAGAAGCUUUUAGUCGGCCAGAAAGGCGGAUUUCUACCAGCCGCUGCGCCUCUGAUCGGUGAACUGAUAGGUGGCUUAAUAAGGAAAUAAACGAUGGCUUCUCAAAAAAUGUUUAUGGUGACCCCCCAACAAUUACAUCAGCUUGUUAAACCUACGAUACGGGACGUGGCUGAAGAGAAUCUUGAAUCUGAAAUGAAAUUAAUUAUGCAGGAGACGGGAUUAACGCCGUAUGAGAAAAUUAAAAAAUACAAUGCGCUGCUACAGCGUUAUUUAAAGUUGUUGAGAAGCGGAUUACACGAAAGUGCACCUCCCACUGAACCGCCCACGGUGACGGCUGAGCCUACGUCAGCUGUAGAAACAGCUGCUGACACACUCAUUAAUGAAACGCUACAGAAUCUUCCUGUACGCGGAAGAAAAAACGCCGAGUACCUGCUGAAAAUGACACGAUUAAACUGGACUCCGACGGGGGAAUUUAAAUAUAAAGGCGAUGUGCAGAAAGGAUCACACAUCCUUGACUUGAUUAAAAGCAUCGGCAACCCGUUAAAAAAACAUCCACAAUCAGAACCGACGGGUUGGACUCCUUUCCUAAAAACUCUAGUAGAAAAAAAUGUACCCUUAUCUAUCGUGUCCAAUCCGCUAGCGAAACGUCAGAUUACGCAACUCAGGAACGGAGGGGUUGUGCUUCCGGAUUCUGAAGACGGUGUUUUGAAGAAAAAAAAGAAAAAAACCGAGGAGAAAUAUCAUUUUAUCACCAAGCUGGAGCAAUGUCCCCACUUUGAAGAAAUGGAUCAGCUUUUGUUGGUCUCUCUUCCGUUAGACCAAGCACGGGUACGGAGUAGAUGGAGUUAAACACCUUUAAAGUUGACAGAACGAGGAGACAAAUGAUCAGAAGUCCAUUCACUGUUUCACCGCUCAUGAGGGGGAGAGCCUUUGCAACAUACAGCCGGUCCCGCGACCUGCUCCCGUCAGUUGCUUCGGACAGACUCUCCCCGUUCUGCUGAAAACGGCUGAUUUUUAUUGAAGAUUACAGGAAUGUUACAUACGUAGUUUGCCAUACACACACGUAAUUCUGCCAUCUGCACCUGCAGACGCACGUCAGCUAAUAGCCUUGUUAAUGAAAGACCAAUUCAUCCCAAGGACAUGCAACCUUGAGAUGAUCAGGACACAUCCUGCAACAUCCUUUGCUAACAAAGACAGUUGUUCUUGUAUUGAGGAACUGAAGGAAGGAACGCUUUCACUCCCUUAUGCAGCUGUUCAGCUUGAGCAGAAAAGGCACAGAGAGGUCUUUGAUAUUAUAACAAGAUUCCAUGAAAAGGCAUAUAAUAAUGUAUUUAUGAUAAUAUAUAAGGGGCAAAAGUGAGAGAUACAUAUUUAAUCAUAUAAAAGAGCUUAUAAUAAUAUAUGAAAGAGCUUAUAUGAGAGAUAUAUAUUUUCAAUCCCCCUUUUGAACUCUUUUAAGAGUUCAAUAAAGAUAUAAGAAAUCAAAACAAUAACACCAAAUUUCAUCAAAAAGAAUCCAAUAAGCAAAGUUUUAAAAUACCAAUACAAACAACCAAUCAGAUUACAUUUACUCAUCUUUCUAGCAGUAAACUAAUACAAAAAACAUGAUCAUACUUUCAACUGAACAUGUUACAACAUGUAUGGAUCGCAUGCAACUCCAUAUGAGGGCGAAAAACCCUAAUUAUCAUAUGUUUAUAGGGAAAAUUCCCCCAUGUCCCCCCAUUUGUCAUAUCUCAAUUUUGGGGCGAACGCCUGUUGGCAUAGAGUGUGCAUGCCUAGGACAUCAAUGAUCAAAAGAAAUAAAAACAACACAAUCAAAAAACUCAUAGAAAUAAACAGUUUAAGGGAUUGUUACAGAAAUCACUCAAUAUUCUCACACUCUAACAACAUCUUCUUCAUCAUGAGAGUCAUCACUUUCAUCAGAGGGUUCCCCUCCCAAAUAGAUUUUAGGAUUGGCUAGUAACAAGGGCAUCUGGAUAAUUGGGUCAGCAGGUGGAGGAGAGAUGGCAGUGGUGAUCAAUAUGUGCAUUCAGAAUUGAGUUUGGAAAUGCAAUGAGUGUAAACAUAUAUCUAAUACUAAACAGGUAAAUGAAUAAUAAUAUAAAAUUAGUAGUGGGUAUAAAAUAUAAUCCUUGUAAAAUAAAUGAGGGUGUUAAAUAGAACCCUUGUAGAAUGUUCAUAGGGUGGUUACUUCUUCCCCCUGUUGAGGUCCUUUCACUGGCUCCAGGCAGCUGCAGGGGGUGAUGAUGUCAAGAUUCUCGUCCUGCAGGAUGUGGUGGCAGCUUGGCAUGCUACCUCGUCCCGCAGAAUUGGUAGCUUGGCACGCUACUGCAGUCAGCUACUUCUCUUCCUGGUUUUUGGAUCCUUUUUCUGGUUAGGCAGAUGUCAGCUGCUUCUCUUCCAGGUUAGGCUCCUCCCGUCCAGCCGGACAGCGUGUGACGUCCUCUCCGUGAUCCUGUAUGGCUCAGUCCACCUCGGUUCCGUCCACUUCCUUUUGGUGACUUUUAGCAGGACCCAGACGCCUGGCACCGAAGGCGAAGCAUCUUCGUGUGUGUAGUUUUGGUCCAAUGAAGGCUUUCUCGGCUUGUGCAGUCCUUGAUCUCGGCAGAUAGUUGGUAGGAAGAUUCACACUCCGGCCGGACCAGAAGUUCCCCGGACCGAUCGCCUAGGGAUUAGAGGUUAUGCACAAAAAUGUCCUAGCUCUUACUGACCCUAGCCUCUGAUACCUUCAACAUCAGACACAUACAGUUACGAACAGCAAGCGCAAUUAAAGGUACAGUGACAUCACGACAUGGACACACAGACACACAAACACAUACACAUGCACAUACACAGAGAGAGAGGGAGAGAGUAAGAAUGUGUGUGGGAGAAAGAAAUGUGUGGGAUCCAUUUUGCCACCAGCAUCUCCACCUGUGUCACAGAGAAAAAAUUGCAAAGAAAUUAAAACAUAAAGCAAACAACAAUAAUUCAAUGAGUAUAAAUGAUCAAACUAAAAUAUACAACCAUGCAUGGGUUUUAUAACAGUUCCGGCAACACUGGAGAGGAAGCCUUGUACAAUGAAUUCUUAAGAUGUCCUUCAUCAAUUAGAGGUUAUAACCAAAUUGUUUCAGGAUCCUGAAUUUGAAUUUGAAUUGGUUAAUUUACUCAGAAUAGUCCAAUGUCUUUGUUGAUGUUUCUCAAGGCUCGGCCAUGCCCAUAUAGAUAAAUAAGCAAACAAACAAGACAAACACAGUCAAACACACGGUCCAUACACGUCUCUGUGCCCUCACACACCAAGCAAAUGUCAGACUGAAGCGAAAGUGUGAAAUACUUAACCUAACGCUAAAUCAGUGGAAAGAAAAAAUAAGACCUAAAGCGUGUAAUCAAAUUAAUCCAACAAAACUUCCCAUAACUGCUGUUCUAAACUCACGUUGCGAUGUGAUCUCUCCAAUUAGAAAUUAGGACAAUCACUUUACUAUCAAUUCAACCAAAAAGUUUCAGGUUGUCCCUUACCUAAACUACUUGUCUUUCUUACCUUCUUUAUUUUAUUAUUUUUUUAAGAACCUCACUUAGCACAAGAAAUCCUAAGAAUUAAUUCACUACUUAAGGUUAAUUUGUAAAUAACGAAACUGCAGUUACAGGUUUGUUUGUGCAUAGUAUUGGUAAUCAGCAGUUUUUUUUUUCCUUAUCUCCACAUCUAGAAGUGUGUUUCUGUGCUACUUCUCCAUCUAUAACACAAGUUAGUAUCAUCCUUAAAGCAUCUGAAAUUAAGCUGCAUUGCUAAAUCAAUAACGUGAUUUGUGCUAAGAAAUACUCCCCUAUCCUCUUCCUUUUUCCAGUGGCACUGAAUGACAGAUUUUAGAUCAAUUUAACGUUUUAUGACUAUUACGUUUCAUUUAAUUAAUUUUGCUUUUUCUCUCUUAUUUUUAUCUAUUUAUUUAUUUAUGUUAUUUAUUUAUUUAUCAUGCCAUCCUGCGAUGAUAAUCCUAAAGACUUGUUAGCCAAUUUGUCGUCAAAAAGGCCAAUUAAAAAUAUUAUGUUAAAGAUUUCACAAGAUAAAAAAUGUGAACAUAAUUUUUAUCGAAUGAGGGGUACCAUUUAUUCAAUAUCUUGUAACAUUAUUUUCUACCUCACUAUUGUCUCGGAUGAGAUGUUCCAUGAAUCAUUUAGUCAGCUGAAUGCCAAAUUAUUCAUUUAAUGUUUAUUUUUAUGCAAUGAAUGGAAUGGGAUGGAACGUUAUUAUAAACUGUCCGGAAAUUUGCGCAUGUUUGUUCGAAGGAGAAAACUGUUGAAGCCUAAAGCGUUCUCCUAGACUUAUAAAUAGACACCGUUUCCUUAACUAAUGAAGAUAAGUGAUGACGCCGAUGAAUGACUUUUUGAAAAGAAAAUAAGGCUUUACUGCAUGUCCGCUGCAGCUGAGAAUCCUAAGACAAUAAAGAUUAUAUUGACGUCCAAUGAUGAGUUGGGCUGAAAUCCAGGUUACUAAUCCUAUUAUUUAUUUAUUUAUUGUUAUUAUUAUUAUCUUUUUUUUUUUUUUUAGGCUAACUUUCUCAGUUAACUAUGUUCUACAGUAGUUUAGUAAAUUUUCCACAGUUCUGACAUUUCAUCAAUUCAACUGGUUGUUGCCAAAAAGCCUUGUUCAUUACCUGACUGCAGCAAGCAAUCUUUUACUGGGUGUAACCAUAGGAAACAGUCUCUUUUGAGCCUCUCUUUGUAAGUCCAGGAUGACCACCGUCAUUGAUUGAAGUUCACAUGUUGGCACACAUGCUCCCCCUUUUGUACUUUGUUUCAUCAGCAGCAGGGCAAAUAAGUUUCUGCCUCUUUGUCCAGCUUGUAGUGCUCCCCGUCUUGAUGUUAUGAGUCACAGUUUUUGGUGAGGGCUUCCAGGUUCUCUUUGUAUAGAAGUCAGAGCCAAACAUUCUUUGCAGCUGGUUGUGACAGGCCCACCCAGUAAAGUUCAUGCCUCCACAAUGCACAGCAAACGUUUUCCUUAAAUAUGUUGAUUGAGUUGAAAGGACAGAACUUUCUCUUUUACAAAUCAAAAUCAACGAAGGUUUCUAAUAUUUAGUCGACUUUAUUGACUCAAAGGUAAAUCUAGACUAUUUCCUAUGCACAAUUUUUCUGACUCGUCAAAUCGGUUCUACACAGGUUUUAAACUUUAGGCACAAUCUAUCCCAAAUGCAAGAUCCCUCCUUUCAUUUUUUAUUUAUCUAUUUUAUUUUGGGAAAAUAACUACCAGUUUUUAACUCAAAACAGCCUAGUACAGUUUCUAGCCAGGUUACAGGAAAUAAUACUUAGUUUAUCUGUUUUUUCAUUAUUCAGCAUCUCAAAAUCCAGCCAUUAACGUUAAUGGUUCUUAAAGUUGAGGUAAGACAAUUAUUGGAUUUUGUUUUAUAGCAAGAUUUAACAAAUAUUUUAUUUCCUGACUGAUUAUUUGUUAAUUUUAUGGUUUUCAUAAAGAUGAUCCUGAGAGGUUCAGAGCUGCUUUUCGCAGUACCCUGUGCUAUUUUUAGACUGCGGGACUCCUGUGUGUAAAAGUGGGUGGAGUCAGGUCCCCAGGCUGAAACUCCAGUCAUUUUCACUAGAUCUGCCCGAGAGGAAGGAUCUCCUGAGUACCCUAACCAGAAGCCUUAAGUCUCUUGAACUAAAUAACCGUCUAGCAAAAACAUGGACCGCACCCUGUUUCUCAAGCAGCUGCUCCCUCUAUUAAAAACUGAGUCAUUCAGAAGAUCCAGCGAAAGCAGCUCAUGCAAGAAGACACGCAUCCACUCAUUCACAUGGCACAGACGACAUUCUUUGUUUGUCACAGUCUUUUUUUUAAAGUAAGUCAGUUCGUCACUUAUUUAUUCUCUCUCUCUCUCUCUAUAUAUAUAUAAUAUUUUAAGCACAGAAUUUAUUUAACACUGCACUGGUUAUUUUCAGAAUUUAUUGCUUACUAUGCUUUUAAGCAGGACUUAUGUAACAUUAGAGCAAAUCCAAUUGCAAUUUUUUGAGAGCACUCUGAGGAAUAGUUUAUAUAUUUAUUUUCUGCAGAUCUGUUUUGAUUUUACUGUUUAGCAGCUUAUCUGACUUUAUAUAUAUGUAUAUCCAUAUAUUUCUGAAAUAAAGCUGUCAUAUACAACCUUA